AAGUAAGUUUAACAUUUCCAAUUCAUUUCAAUCGAAGAUCUUCAAGUUUUACGGUAAGAUACCUUCCAUGCUUAAGAGUUAUGAUUUUCAUGGUAAUAUUUAUGCUUAAACUAUGCAUGAAAAAUCAUAAUAUGAUUAUGGUGGACAAGUCCACAAAGUUAGAUAUCUAUUUAUGCCUUAGGACAAGUCCGAAGGGCACCGGCAAGCCGGAAUGUGCAAGUAUGGGUUUGAUUGCAUUCUUUUGUGUAAUAUUAUCAUGAUAAAAAUCCAAGCAUGGUAUCUUACUGA
rnacentral:lncRNA from 1 species